rnacentral:tRNA from 2 species
GGAAGCGUGGCAGAGUGGUCGAUUGCACCGGUCUUGAAAACCGGCAAGGGGUUAAACCCUUCGUGGGUUCGAAUCCCACCGCUUCCG